CUUUGAUCAUGGCUCAGGACGAACGCUGGCGGCGUGCCUAACACAUGCAAGUCGAACGAAGCUUGAUUUAUGAUUUCUUCGGAAUGAAUAAUGAUAUGACUGAGUGGCGGACGGGUGAGUAACGCGUGAGCAACCUGCCCUUCGGAACGGGAUAGCGUCUGGAAACGGACGGUAAUACCGUAUAACGUAUUUUUACCGCAUGAUAGAAAUACCAAAACUGAGGUGCCGAAGGAUGGGCUCGCGUCUGAUUAGAUAGUUGGUGGGGUAACGGCCUACCAAGUCGACGAUCAGUAGCCGGACUGAGAGGUUGAACGGCCACAUUGGGACUGAGACACGGCCCAGACUCCUACGGGAGGCAGCAGUGGGGAAUAUUGCACAAUGGGGGAAACCCUGAUGCAGCAACGCCGCGUGAAGGAAGACGGUUUUCGGAUUGUAAACUUCUGUUCUUAGUGAAGAUAAUGACGGUAGCUAAGGAGCAAGCCACGGCUAACUACGUGCCAGCAGCCGCGGUAAUACGUAGGUGGCAAGCGUUGUCCGGAAUUACUGGGUGUAAAGGGAGCGUAGGCGGGAAGCCAAGUCAGCUGUGAAAACUACGGGCUUAACCUGUAGACUGCAGUUGAAACUGGUUUUCUUGAGUGAAGUAGAGGUUGGCGGAAUUCCGAGUGUAGCGGUGAAAUGCGUAGAUAUUCGGAGGAACACCGGUGGCGAAGGCGGCCAACUGGGCUUUAACUGACGCUGAGGCUCGAAAGUGUGGGGAGCAAACAGGAUUAGAUACCCUGGUAGUCCACACUGUAAACGAUGAUAACUAGGUGUGGGGGGUCUGACCCCUUCCGUGCCGCAGCUAACGCAAUAAGUUAUCCACCUGGGGAGUACGACCGCAAGGUUGCAACUCAAAGGAAUUGACGGA
rnacentral:rRNA from 1 species